AUUCUUCCUUAGUGGUUCAAGGUUGGAGAAACUGAAAAGGGCCCACAAUGCUGAUCCAGCAAUUACAAAACACAGCCAUGUAGCAAGACUGGUUCAGGAAGACUGAGAGGAAAUGACAAAGCAGAGACGAUUUCUAGACUUGCCUUUUUCUUGACCUCAGUACACUGUUUCAGAGCCAGAUUGUUCAGGAACUACAAAUAUUUGUCACAGAGGCAAACCAGCUGUUAUUAUAUCAGUUAUGCUGUUUCCUUGGGUGCUCAUUCUCUGUAGCUUCAGAUUGCCAGGUGCUCUCUCCAUGUAAAAGUCACCUUCAGAUUUGCCAGAUCAAAUGGGAGCAAUUACGCCUCCGUCUUGGGAAAAAGGAAGGAGCAAAGCCAAGUCUACUUCAGAUGGAAAGCCUCUCUAUGAGUGGAAGCCACAGAAACUACUACAGAAAUAAAACCUACCAAGUAAAGGCAUAAACAGCCACCACCUAAUCUAAGAUGAGAGGCACAAACCACUUGCAACACUACUAAGAUUCUGUGGCUCUUUAGCUUAAAUGGAUUCUGGUUUUGAACAUCUCAUUCCAAUAACCACAGAAAAAGAUACUGUUUUCCAUUUUCAAAAGUAGAUACUUGCUGAUAAUGAUGGCAGAAGGAAAUGUACCAAUGAAGAGAGAUGUUAGCAAACGUAUUUCUAAAAGCUGGCAAGAAGUAGGUAUUUGUCUUUCAGACUUUAAUGGAUGACUUUUCUGCCAAAAUAUAGGAUAUAGCAGAACUGUUCCUCCCAGCAAAUUCACUAAAAGCUCUCCUAUAAUCAUUGCCAUCUGUCCCAGAGGAAUAUGUGGCACAUUACUUCAUACCAACUAUUUGUAAUAAAGACAGAGAAGGUAGACCUCUUUGAAAUAAAAUAUCUCCUUCCUUG